AUGUUCCCCGGUGCGGUCUCUGGUGUUUUCAGCGCAUUAGACCUUACACCCAGAGGUCACUAUGAAGUCCACGGAGAAGACAUGGAGUCAAUUCCAACAGCAGGUUCCAGCGGGCAGCGUUUUGCAUUUAUGCGAGCACCAGCUGUGGCAGCGUCUGCACCUUCACGUUCACAGCAGGCUACUUCAAGUUCCCCUAUGUCCUCCAAAACAUUUCAGAGAUCAGUGUACUUUGCAGAUGUAGUUGGUGGGAGGUUGAUUCCCAAUAGAAUGGUGGUUGUACGAUUCCUGGAGUCUGAGGCUACGCUUCAAGGGAUAGUAGGAAAAGUGCAAGAUGCCAUUGGUAAUUACAACCCAAUAAUUUUGACAGAUGCACAGGGCAAUGCAAUUCUGGAGUCGGAGGGCACAACAGGGUCACAGUACUGGAGACAAAAUGCACGAAAAAUUCUUGCUGUGCCUGAACAAGACUUUAAUUGCCUCCAGGGAACAAAGAGGAAGAAACUGAGCAGCCGUAAAGAUGAUGACAGUGCCAGUUUGGGAGAAGUGAGUGACAAAAUAGAAGAGUUGGUGUUGGCAUCUCAAAGUCUGCCAGCUGUCACAGCAGCAAUCAAAGAGCUCACUGAUCUUGCAGUUGCCCAGAAAGUCACAACCCCCAAGCUGCAGACACUCAAGGAGGGAUUUAGCUGCGUGGUUUGUAUGAGUAUGUUCAAAUGUUGCUUAGUAAAUACAUUACAUCUACACUAA
rnacentral:lncRNA from 1 species